GAUGAACGCUAGCGGCAGGCCUAAUACAUGCAAGUCGAACGGUGUAGCAAUACACAGUGGCGCACGGGUGCGUAACACGUAUGCAACCUACCUUACAUUGGGGGAUAGCCUUUCGAAAGGGAGAUUAAUACCGCAUAAGACAGUAACUGGGCAUCCAGUAGCUGUUAAAGAUUUAUCGAUGUAAGCUGGGCAUGCGUCCAAUUAGUUAGUUGGCGAGGUAAUGGCUCACCAAGACGAUGAUUGGUAGGGGAACUGAGAGGUCAAUCCCCCACACUGGCACGGAGAUACGGGCCAGACUCCUACGGGAGGCAGCAGUAGGGAAUAUUGGGCAAUGGGCGCAAGCCUGACCCAGCCAUGCCGCGUGCAGGAAGAAGGCGUUAUGCGUUGUAAACUGCUUUUAUACAGGAAGAAACGACCCUUGCGAGGGGCAUUGACGGUACUGUAUGAAUAAGCACCGGCUAACUCCGUGCCAGCCGCCGCCGUAAUAC
rnacentral:rRNA from 1 species